AGCGAACGCUGGCGGCAGGCCUAACACAUGCAAGUCGAACGAAGUCUUCGGACUUAGUGGCGGACGGGUGAGUAACACGUGGGAACGUACCUUUUGGUUCGGAACAACUCAGGGAAACUUGAGCUAAUACCGGAUGAGCCCUUAGGGGGAAAGAUUUAUCGCCGAAAGAGCGGCCCGCGUUAGAUUAGCUAGUUGGUGAGGUAAAGGCUCACCAAGGCUACGAUCUAUAGCUGGUCUGAGAGGAUGAUCAGCCACACUGGGACUGAGACACGGCCCAGACUACUACGGGAGGCAGCAGUGGGGAAUCUUGCGCAAUGGGCGAAAGCCUGACGCAGCCAUGCCGCGUGAAUGAUGAAGGUCUUAGGAUUGUAAAAUUCUUUUACCAGGGACGAUAAUGACGGUACCUGGAGAAAAAGCCCCGGCUAACUUCGUGACAGCCGCCGCGGUAAGAC
rnacentral:rRNA from 1 species